UACAGAGGUCCCAAGCGUUGUUCGGAUUCAUUGGGCGUAAAGGGUGCGUAGGCGGCGCGGUAAGUCGGGUGUGAAAUCUCGGGGCUUAACUCCGAAACUGCAUUCGAUACUGCCGUGCUUGAGGACUGGAGAGGAGACUGGAAUUUACGGUGUAGCGGUGAAAUGCGUAGAUAUCGAGAGGAACACCUGCGGCGAAGGCGGGUUGCUGGGCUGACACUGACGCUGAUGCGCGAAAGCGUGGGGAGCAAACAGG
rnacentral:rRNA from 1 species